rnacentral:rRNA from 1 species
GACGAACCGUGCGAACGUUGUUCGGAAUCACUGGGCUUAAAGGGCGCGUAGGCGGGUCGGCAAGUCGGAGGUGAAAGCCCGCAGCUCAACUGCGGAAGUGCCCCCGAUACUGCCGACCUCGAGGGAGGUAGGGGCGUGCGGAACUUCCGGUGGAGCGGUGAAAUGCGUAGAUAUCGGAAGGAACACCGGUGGCGAAAGCGGCGCGCUGGACCUCUUCUGACGCUGAGGCGCGAAAGCCAGGGGAGCAAACGGG